UGCAGGCAUCAAGUUUCCAGACUUCAAGUCUGCAGGUGUCACGCUGCGGAGCCAACGGAUGAAGCUGCCAAGCUCUGUGGGACAGAAGAAGAUCAAGGCCCUGGAACAGAUGCUGCUGGAGCUUGGUGUGGAGCUGAGCCCGACACCUACGGAGGAGCUGGUGCACAUGUUCAAUGAGCUGCGAAGCGACCUGGUGCUGCUCUAUGAGCUCAAGCAGGCCUGUGCCAACUGCGAGUAUGAGCUGCAGAUGCUGCGGCACCGUCAUGAGGCACUGGCCCGGGCUGGUGUGCUAGGGGGCCCUGCCACACCAGCAUCAGGCCCAGGCCCGGCCUCUGCUGAGCCGGCAGUGACUGAACCCGGACUUGGCCCUGACCCCAAGGACACCAUCAUUGAUGUGGUGGGCGCACCCCUCACGCCCAAUUCGGUAAGAGUCUGGACAGGCUGGGAGGCACGCCUGGGCCCUGCGAGUGAGCACAUGCACAUGGGUGUAGGGGCUCCUCUCCCUCUAGUGCCUGCAGCAGGAACGAUCAUCACUUCUGUGCGAGUCUGAGACUGAGGAGAAAGCGACGGGAGUCGGCCUCCAGCUCAUCUUCCGUGAAGAAAGCCAAGAAGCCGUGAGAGGCCCCACGGGGUGUGGGCGACGCUGUUAUGUAAAUAGAGCUGCUGAGUUGGACCAGGCUG
rnacentral:sRNA from 1 species